rnacentral:lncRNA from 1 species
UCUUGCGAACUCGGGAUUACAGACUUGGGUACAUGGCUCCGUGUAAGGGGUCCGAUAUUUUGUACCAUUUUCAGUAGUUCUACGACGCUCAGACGGUUCGAAUGAGAAAUUUUCACAACGCACGUGAGAGAUUCAACUUCAAGCACUCGUCAUUUAGAAAUGUAAUCGAACGGGCAUUUGGUGUAUGAAAAAGUCGAUGGAAAAUACUAGAUCGUAUGUCG